rnacentral:rRNA from 1 species
GGAUGAACGCUGGCGGCGUGCCUAAUACAUGCAAGUCGAGCGAAUGGAUUAAGAGCUUGCUCUUAUGAAGUUAGCGGCGGACGGGUGAGUAACACGUGGGUAACCUGCCCAUAAGACUGGGAUAACUCCGGGAAACCGGGGCUAAUACCGGAUAACAUUUUGCACCGCAUGGUGCGAAAUUCAAAGGCGGCUUCGGCUGUCACUUAUGGAUGGACCCGCGUCGCAUUAGCUAGUUGGUGAGGUAACGGCUCACCAAGGCAACGAUGCGUAGCCGACCUGAGAGGGUGAUCGGCCACACUGGGACUGAGACACGGCCCAGACUCCUACGGGAGGCAGCAGUAGGGAAUCUUCCGCAAUGGACGAAAGUCUGACGGAGCAACGCCGCGUGAGUGAUGAAGGCUUUCGGGUCGUAAAACUCUGUUGUUAGGGAAGAACAAGUGCUAGUUGAAUAAGCUGGCACCUGACGGUACC